rnacentral:rRNA from 1 species
UACAGAGGGUGCAAGCGUUAAUCGGAAUUACUGGGCGUAAAGCGUGCGUAGACGGUUACAUAAGUCGGGGUGUGAAAGCCCCGGGCUCAACCUGGGAAUUGCAUUCGAGACUGCGUAGCUAGGGUACGGUAGAGGGAAGCGGAAUUUCCGGGUGUAGCGGUGAAAUGCGUAGAUAUCGGAAGGAACACCAGUGGCGAAAGGCGGCUUCCUGGACCAGUACCGACGUUCAGGCACGAAAGCGUGGGGAGCAAACAGGG